rnacentral:misc_RNA from 1 species
AAUACUUUGAGUACAUUGGUAAAUUAAUUUAAAGGAUUAUUAUUUGAAAUUGAAUUUUAAAUGUAUUAGAUUAGAAUUGUACUAAUUGAAAAGAUUUUGGAUUUAAUUCAAAAUUGGGAAAUUAAAAGUAAAAAAGGGAAAAUUUUUAAUUUUUCGAAACAGCAGGAGUAGCCCCAUUCCCUCAAAGUUCCUUUCGCCCUUUACCCUCCCAGUAAUAACUUGAAAAAUUUUUAAAAAUAAA